rnacentral:rRNA from 1 species
UCGGGAAUUUUGGGCAAUGGGCGAAAGCCUGACCCAGCAACGCCGCGUGAGGGAUGAAGUAUUUCGGUAUGUAAACCUCGAAAGAAUGGGAAGAAUAAAUGACGGUACCAUUUAUAAGCUCCGGCUAACUACGUGCCAGCAGCCGCGGUAAUACGUAGGGGGCAAGCGUUGUCCGGAUUUACUGGGUGUAAAGGGCGCGCAGGCGGGAUAAAAAGUCAGUGGUGAAAUCCUACAGCUUAACUGUAGAACUGCCUUUGAUACUUUUAUUCUUGAGUUCGGGAGAGAGAGACGGAAUUCCAGGUGUAGUGGUGAAAUACGUAGAUAUCUGGAAGAACACCAGUUGCGAAGGCGGUCUCUUGAUCCGACACUGACGCUGAGGCGCGAAAGCGUGGGGAGCAAACA